GACGAACGCUGGCGGCGCGCUUAACACAUGCAAGUCGAGCGAGAACCAGGGCUUCGGCCCUGGGGACAGCGGCGAACGGGUGAGUAACACGUGGAUAACCUGCCCUCGGCACCGGGAUAGCCCGGGGAAACCCGGAUUAAUACCGGAUGGCCCUUCCGGCUCACGAGCCGGUCGGAAAAGGUAGCUUCGGCCUCCGGCCGAGGAUGGGUCCGCGGCGGAUUAGCUUGUUGGGGGGGUAACGGCCCACCAAGGCUCCGAUCCGUAGCUGGUCUGGGAGGACGAGCAGCCACACUGGGACUGAGACACGGCCCAGACUCCUACGGGAGGCAGCAGUGGGGAAUCUUGCGCAAUGGGCGAAAGCCUGACGCAGCGACGCCGCGUGAGGGAGGAAGGCCUUCGGGUUGUAAACCUCUUUCAGGAGGGACGAAGCUACUCGGGUAAAUAGCCCAGAGGGUGACGGUACCUCCAGAAGAAGCCCCGGCUAACUACGUGCCAGCCGCCGCAGUAA
rnacentral:rRNA from 1 species